GGGCGAGUGGUGGAAUGGUAUACACGAAGGACUUAAAAUCCUUUGGCAGCAAUGCUAUGAGGGUUCGACUCCCUCCUCGCCCACCA
rnacentral:tRNA from 1 species